CCUAGGGUGGCAGCAGUGGGGAAUAUUGGACAAUGGGCGAAAGCCUGAUCCAGCCAUGCCGCGUGUGUGAAGAAGGCCUUCGGGUUGUAAAGCACUUUCAGUGGGGAAGAAAGCCUUGGGGCUAAUACCCUCGAGGAAGGACAUCACCCACAGAAGAAGCACCGGCUAACUCCGUGCCAGCAGCCGCGGUAAUACGGAGGGUGCGAGCGUUAAUCGGAAUUACUGGGGUAAAGCGCGCGUAGGCGGUCUGAUAAGCCGGUUGUGAAAGCCCCGGGCUCAACCUGGGAACGGCAUCCGGAACUGUCAGGCUAGAGUGCAGGAGAGGAAGGUAGAAUUCCCGGUGUAGCAGUGAAAUGCGUAGAGAUCGGGAGGAAUACCAGUGGCGAAGGCGGCCUUCUGGACUGACACUGACGCUGAGGUGCGAAAGCGUGGGUAGCAAACAGGAUUAGAUACCCCAGUAGUC
rnacentral:rRNA from 1 species